GCUGGAGGCUAAAAAAUUGUAAGCUAGCUCACACUAACUCAGCUUAGAGGGAGCAUUGGUCGCAGCCAGUUUAAACUGAAAACUUAAGUUGUGACCAAGGGGUUAUUAUACCUCUGGGAAUGACAAUUCAAGAUGACAGGUGUGAAUUUAAACAAACCCCAACAUCCUGAAUCAUGUAAAACAUGCCUUGAGAUGCAAACCAAAUCACAGCAAGAGGCUCUGUUAUGCUUAAGCACUUUUGAAGAAUAUAGUUCAGAAAAUAACUUCAGAAAUCAAUGUUUCUGACAUACUUGCUAUUUUAACUAAAGCUAUUUUUCUAAACGGCAAAUAUAAGCAAGGGUAUUGCCUUCUUAGUGGAUGGAACUAGGAAAUUCAGUGUUUGGCUUAUAUUUUUUAGACAAAUCGUAUUAGAUACUCUGCAGAUGUGUUACAACUUAUUUUUUUUUCCUGACAGCCACCUUCUUUAAUUCUCAGCACUAAUGCCAUUAAAGCUAUGUAAGUCUUUGUUGGGGGCAAAUGAGCCUUAUACUAUAUUUCUGUAUCGAUGGAGCAUUUCAAUCACCAAAAACUAGUUAAAUACCUCAAUCAGUCUCAGAAUGUCACUUUGGUACUUGCUGGUUACACAAGCCAUUAUAACUCUAAUAUGAAGAACUGUUGUAUUUCUGUUUAUAUUUAACUUGCCUCAUGUCAGUGUUGUUAUUUCUUCUCCAAGUUUAAUAAAUUUAUUUUCGUGGAUCCA